rnacentral:rRNA from 1 species
GAUGCAGCGACGCCGCGUGGGGGAUGACGGCCUUCGGGUUGUAAACUCCUUUCGCCCGGGACGAAGCCCACCUGGUGGGUGACGGUACCGUGGAGAAGAAGCACCGGCUAACUACGUGCCAGCAGCCGCGGUAAUACGUAGGGUGCAAGCGUUGUCCGGAUUUACUGGGCGUAAAGAGCUCGUAGGUGGUGUGUCGCGUCGUCUGUGAAAUUCCGGGGCUUAACUCCGGGCGUGCAGGCGAUACGGGCACGACUAGAGUGCUGUAGGGGUAACUGGAAUUCCUGGUGUAGCGGUGAAAUGCGCAGAUAUCAGGAGGAACACCGAUGGCGAAGGCAGGUUACUGGGCAGUUACUGACGCUGAGGAGCGAAAGCAUGGGGAGCGAACAGGAUUAGAUACCCUGGUAGUCCAUGCCGUAAACGUUGGGCACUAGGUGUGGGGGACAUUCCACGUUUUCCGCGCCGUAGCUAACGCAUUAAGUGCCCCGCCUGGGGAGUACGGCCGCAAGGCUAAAACUCAAAGGAAUUGACGGGGGCCCGCACAAGCGGCGGAGCAUGCGGAUUAAUUCGAUGCAACGCGAAGAACCUUACCAAGGCUUGACAUAUACUGGACUGCGUCAGAGAUGGCGUUUCCCUUCGGGGCUGGUAUACAGGUGGUGCAUGGUUGUCGUCAGCUCGUGUCGUGAGAUGUUGGGUUAAGUCCCGCAACGAGCGCAACCCUUGUCUUAUGUUGCCAGCACAUUUUUGGUGGGGACUCAUGAGAAACUGCCGGGGUCAACUCGGAGGAAGGUGGGGAUGACGUCAAAUCAUCAUGCCCUUUAUACCCAGGGCUUCACACAUGCUACAAUGGUCGGUACAACGGGUUGCGACACUGUGAAGUGAAGCUAAUCUCUUAAAGCCGGCCUCAGUUCGGAUUGGGGUCUGCAACUCGACCCCAUGAAGUCGGAGUCGCUAGUAAUCGCAGAUCAGCAACGCUGCGGUGAAUACGUUCCCGGGCCUUGUACACACCGCCCGUCACGUCAUGAAAGUUGGUAACACCCGAAGCCCAUGGCCUAACCACCGUUUGGUGGGGGGAGUGGUCGAAGGUGGGAUUGGCGAUUGGGACGAAGUCGUAACAAGGUAGCCGUACCGGAAGGUGCGGCUG